rnacentral:rRNA from 1 species
UAUGGAAGAUUAGUUAGUUGGUUAGGUAAAAGCUGACCAAGCCCAAGAUCUUUAGUUGGUCUGAGAGGAUGAUCAGCCACACUGGAACUGAGAUAAGGUCCAGGCUCUUAGCCAGCAGUGUGGAAUCUUGGACAAUGGGCGAAAGCUUGAUCCAGUAAUAUUGCGUGAACGAGGAAAGCAAAAAAGAUUCAUAAAUACACGCAAGUGUGUUUAUGGAUUGGCUGUAAAGUUAUUUCGGCUAAUGAAGAUAAUGACAUUAAUUAGAGAAGAAGCUCCGGCUAAUUUCGUGCCAGCAGCCGCGGUAAUACGAAAGGAGUAAGCGUUAUCCUAAAUGAUUGGGCGUAAAGUGUUUGUAGGCGGUAUUUUCUGUUAUAUGUAAAAAAUUAGGAUAAUCUCUUAUUGAUGCGUAUAAUACUUUAAUACUUGAGUAUAAUUGGGAAUAACAGAAUUUUAUAGGGAAGAGUAAAAUCUAUAGAUCUAUGAAGGAAUGCCAGAGGCGAAGGCGGUUAUUUGGGUUAUUACUGACGUUGAGGAACGAAAGCAUGGGGAGCAAACAGGGUUAGAUAUUCUGGUAGUCCAUGCUGUCAAAGAUGAAUGUUAAUACAGGGUUAUUCUUGUAUACAGCUAACGCGUUAAACAUUCCGCCUGGGGAGUACGAUCGCAAGAUUGGAACUCAAAGGAAUUGACGGGGGUCUACACAAGUGGUGGAGCAUGUGGUUUAAUGCGAUAAUACGCGCGAAAUCUUACCAGUCCUUGAAUAUAGCAAAAUCAAUAAUUUUAUUUUAUUGCUCGUAUAUAGGUUUAUUAAACUUCCAUACAAUUACUAUACAGGUGUUGCAUGGCUGUCGUCAGCUCGUGCCGUGAGGUGUUUGGUUAAAUCCAUUAACGGGCGAAACUCUUCUAUUAUAUUGGUAUUUUUUGAUUUUGUAAAAAAUCAAUAAAACAACUUAUAAAAGACUUCUGGUCCACGCCAGAGGAAGAUGAGAAUUACGUCAAGCCCUUAUGGCCCUUAUGAACUGGGCCACACACGUGCUACAAUGAAUAAUACAAAAAGUUAUACAAUAAAGCAAUUUGGAGUAAAUCUUUAAAAUUUUUCGUUUGUUCAGAUUACAGACUGCAAUUCGUCUGUAUGAAGGUGGAAUCACAAGUAAUCGUAAAUCAGCAUGUUACGGUGAAUUUGUACUUAGACCUUGCACACACCGCCCGUCACAUGCCGGGAGUAGGUUUUGUUUGAAAUUAAAAAAUUUUUUGUUUUGUUAUAAUUUAUCUGUAAAAGGAG